rnacentral:misc_RNA from 1 species
UACGUAGGUGGCAAGCGUUGUCCGGAAUUAUUGGGCGUAAAGCGCGCAGGCGGUCUUUUAAGUCUGAUGUGAAAGCCCACGGCUCAACCGUGGAGGGUCAUUGGAAACUGGAGGACUUGAGUACAGAAGAGGAGAUCGGAAUUCCACGUGUAGCGGUGAAAUGCGUAGAGAUGUGGAGGAACACCAGUGGCGAAGGCGACUUUCUGGUCUGUAAUUGACGCUGAGGCUCGAAAGCGUGGGGAGCGAACAGG